GCUCGCCCCCCGCUGCCCCGCGCCCCGCUGUCCAGGUCCCGAGGUACCGCCCUAAGGAACCUGCUAAGGCCCCUGUUAUUCCCCGAACCCUCAUGGACUUUAUUAUUGUGGCCGCAAAAUUAAAGUUCUUUCCAUUUUCUAAAUUUCUACAAGUUUAGCAGACAAUGGCGAGAAUUUUUAUAAGACAUACGAAUUGUAGAUUUAAAAAGAUGCCAAGAAUCCCAAAUAGAGUCUGGCAUAGAGAAGUCAAUAGAUGCUUGUUGAACUGAAUCAGCAUGGACAUGAAGAUACAAUUCCCGCAUGUCCAACACUUAUGAAAAUUAAACAUUCCAUUACAUGUGAACAUCUACAGCUCAACAUGUUAUCAUGAACUGUUGGUGAGACCAUGGCUGAUUUGCAAGACUGACUUGCACACUGAACUCAACUUGAUUUUGAAAACAGCUAAUGCAAAGAGAGAUACUCUGGGUCUAAGCAAUUCUCUAUUCAAAACUCUUGUGCACUCAGGCAAAACUGAAUUCCCAAUCUUGAUAUGUUGUGAGUCUAUAAUUUUAGAAGAGAUGCAGGGGUGUGGGUCUUGAUGAAUGCAAGUUAAUAUGGCCAUGCAUAUUACCUGUCUUUUCACCCAA
rnacentral:lncRNA from 1 species